rnacentral:rRNA from 1 species
UGCAAGUCGAACGGCAGCAUAGAGAGCUUGCUCUCUGAUGGCGAGUGGCGAACGGGUGAGUAAUAUAUCGGAACGUGCCCAGUAAUGGGGAAUAACUAACUGAAAGGUUAGCUAAUACCGCAUACGACCUACGGGUGAAAGCAGGGGAUCUUAGGACCUUGCGUUAUUGGAGCGGCCGAUAUCUGAUUAGCUUGUUGGUGGGGUAAAAGCCUACCAAGGCAACGAUCAGUAGCUGGUCUGAGAGGACGAUCAGCCACACUGGAACUGAGACACGGUCCAGACUCCUACGGGAGGCAGCAGUGGGGAAUUUUGGACAAUGGGGGAAACCCUGAUCCAGCCAUCCCGCGUGAGUGAAGAAGGCCUUCGGGUUGUAAAGCUCUUUCGAAAGUGAAGAAAACUUAUUUCGUAAUAUGUUAUAAGUAUGACGGUAACUUUAGAAGAAGCACCGGCUAACUACGUGCCAGCAGCCGCGGUAAUACGUAGGGUGCGAGCGUUAAUCGGAAUUACUGGGCGUAAAGCGUGCGCAGGCGGUUCUGUAAGUCAGAUGUGAAAUCCCCGAGCUUAACUUGGGAACUGCGUUUGAAACUACAAGACUAGAGUGUGUCAGAGGGGGGUAGAAUUCCACGUGUAGCAGUGAAAUGCGUAGAGAUGUGGAGGAAUACCAAUGGCGAAGGCAGCCCCCUGGGAUGACACUGACGCUCAUGCACGAAAGCGUGGGGAGCGAACAGGAUUAGAUACCCUGGUAGA